rnacentral:misc_RNA from 1 species
AUUCUUAAUAAAUAAAUUUAAUGGCCAAGACAAAUAGACUUAUUCAGAAAAGAGUUUUUGAUGGAAAAGUCUUAUUAAUCAAGAAUUUGAAUUAAGAUGAGCACAUAUGAUUCCAAGCAAUUAGGGUUUAACAUAAACCAUGACCUUUGCUAGAAUUGGGAUUAUGUAACAGAAAGAUUUUAGUGCAUGAUAUGUAUCAUCAAAGUUCAUGAGUUACGUAUAAAUUAAUUCAUCACUAGUU